rnacentral:rRNA from 1 species
GACGAACGCUGGCGGCGUGCUUAACACAUGCAAGUCGAGCGGUAAGGCCCUUUCGGGGGUACGACGAGCGGCGAACGGGUGAGUAACACGUGGGUGACCUGCCCUCAGCUCUGGGAUAAGCCCGGGAAACUGGGUCUAAUACCGGAUAUGACUUCAUGACGCAUGUUGUGGGGUGGAAAGCCUUGUGCGGCUGAGGAUGGGCCCGCGGCCUAUCAGCUUGUUGGUGGGGUGAUGGCCUACCAAGGCGACGACGGGUAGCCGGCCUGAGAGGGCGACCGGCCACACUGGGACUGAGACACGGCCCAGACUCCUACGGGAGGCAGCAGUGGGGAAUCUUGCGCAAUGGGCGAAAGCCUGACGCAGCGACGCCGCGUGAGGGAUGACGGCCU